GAUGAAUGCUGGCGGCGUGCCUAACACAUGCAAGUCGAGCGGCAGCGAAGGGUGCUUGCACCCUGUCGGCGAGCGGCGGACGGCUGAGUAACGCGUGGGAAUCUACCCUAAAGUGAGGGAUAACCGCCCGAAAGGGUGGCUAAUACCGCAUAUGAUCUUCGGAUUAAAGGAUUUAUCCGCUUUGGGAGAAGCCUGCGUUGGAUUAGGUUGUUGGUAGGGUAAUGGCCUACCAAGCCGACGAUCCAUAGCUGGUCUGAGAGGAUGAUCAGCCAGACUGGAACUGAGACACGGUCCAGACUCCUACGGGAGGCAGCAGUGAGGAAUCUUCCACAAUGGGCGAAAGCCUGAUGGAGCAACGCCGCGUGAAGGAUGAAGGCCUUCGGGUUGUAAACUUCUUUUAUGAGUGAAGAAUAUGACGGUAACUCAUGAAUAAGCACCGGCUAACUACGUGCCAGCAGCCGCGGUCAUACGUAGGGUGCAAGCAUUAUCCGGAGUGACUGGGCGUAAAGAGUUGCGUAGGCGGUUUAAUAAGUGAAUAGUGAAACCUGGUGGCUCAACCAUACAGACUAUUAUUCAAACUGUUAAACUCGAGAAUGGUAGAGGUAACUGGAAUUUCUUGUGUAGGAGUGAAAUCCGUAGAUAUAAGAAGGAACACCAAUGGCGUAGGCAGGUUACUGGGCCAUUUCUGACGCUAAGGCACGAAAGCGUGGGGAGCGAACCGGAUUAGAUACCCGGGUAGUCCACGCCGUAAACGAUGGAUACUAGCUGUUGGAGGUAUCGACCCCUUCAGUAGCGAAGCUAACGCGUUAAGUAUCCCGCCUGUGGAGUACGGCCGCAAGGCUAAAACAUAAAGGAAUUGACGGGGACCCGCACAAGCGGUGGAUCAUGUUCUUUAAUUCGAUGAUAAACGAAGAACCUUACCAGGGUUUGACAUCCCGAGGAGAUUUACGAAAGUAGAUUGUGCCUUUUGGAACUCGGUGACAGAUGAUGCAUGGCCGUCGUCAGCUCGUGUCGUGAGAUGUUUGGUUAAGUCCAUCAACGAGCGCAACCCUUGUGAAUAGUUGAAUUUUUCUAUUCAGACUGCCCCGGCAACGGGGA
rnacentral:rRNA from 1 species